rnacentral:rRNA from 1 species
GACGAACGCUGGCGGCGUGCCUAAUACAUGCAAGUCGAGCGCAGGAAACUGACGGAACUCUUCGGAGGGAAGGCAGUGGAAUGAGCGGCGGACGGGUGAGUAACACGUAAGGAACCUGCCUCAAGGAUUGGGAUAACUCCGAGAAAUCGGAGCUAAUACCGGAUAGUUCAACGGACCGCAUGGUCCGCUGAUGAAAGGCGCUUCGGCGUCACCUUGAGAUGGCCUUGCGGUGCAUUAGCUAGUUGGUGGGGUAACGGCCCACCAAGGCGACGAUGAAUAGCCGACCUGGGAGGGUGAGCGGCCACACUGGGACUGGGACACGGCCCAGACUCCUACGGGAGGCAGCAGUAGGGAAUCUUCCACAGUGGACGAAAGUCUGAUGGAGCAACGCCGCGUGAGUGAUGAAGGUUUUCGGAUCGUAAAACUCUGUUGUAAGGGAAGAACCCGUACGAGAGGAAAUGCUCGUACCUUGACGGUACCUUACGAGAAAGCCACGGCUAACUACGUGCCAGCAGCAGCCGCGG